CUUCGGACCUUGCGCGAUUGAAUGAGCCGAUGUCGGAUUAGCUAGUUGGCGGGGUAAAGGCCCACCAAGGCGACGAUCCGUAGCUGGUCUGAGAGGAUGAUCAGCCACACUGGAACUGAGACACGGUCCAGACUCCUACGGGAGGCAGCAGUGGGGAAUAUUGGACAAUGGGCGCAAGCCUGAUCCAGCCAUACCGCGUGGGUGAAGAAGGCCUUCGGGUUGUAAAGCCCUUUUGUUGGGAAAGAAAUCCAGCCGGCUAAUACCUGGUUGGGAUGACGGUACCCAAAGAAUAAGCACCGGCUAACUUCGUGCCAGCAGCCGCGGUAAUACGAAGGGUGCAAGCGUUACUCGGAAUUACUGGGCGUAAAGCGUGCGUAGGUGGUCGUUUAAGUCCGUUGUGAAAGCCCUGGGCUCAACCUGGGAACUGCAGUGGAUACUGGACGACUAGAGUGUGGUAGAGGGUAGCGGAAUUCCUGGUGUAGCAGUGAAAUGCGUAGAGAUCAGGAGGAACAUCCAUGGCGAAGGCAGCUACCUGGACCAACACUGACACUGAG
rnacentral:rRNA from 1 species